rnacentral:rRNA from 1 species
GACGAAGGUGGCGAGCGUUGUUCGGAAUCACUGGGCAUAAAGCGCACGUAGGUGGCGGCGUAAGUCGGGUGUGAAAUCCCUCGGCCUAACCGAGGAACUGCGCCCGAUACUGCGUUGCUUGAGGGUUAAAGGGGUGCAUGGAAUUCCCGGUGGAGCGGUGAAAUGCGUUGAUAUCGGGAGGAACGCCGGCGGCGAAAGCGGUGCACUGGUUGACUUCUGACACUCAUGUGCGAAAGCCAGGGGAGCAAACGGG